UACAGAGGGUGCGAGCGUUAAUCGGAAUUACUGGGCGUAAAGCGUGCGUAGACGGUUAUUUAAGUCGGGUGUGAAAGCCCCGGGCUCAACCUGGGAAUUGCAUUCGAGACUGAAUAGCUAGGGUACGGUAGAGGGAAGUGGAAUUUCCGGUGUAGCGGUGAAAUGCGUAGAUAUCGGAAGGAACAUCAGUGGCGAAAGCGACUUCCUGGACUAGUACCGACGUUCAGGCACGAAAGCGUGGGGAGCAAACAGG
rnacentral:rRNA from 1 species